CUGAGGGGCAAGUAUCACUUCCUUGGUGGGAGCUCAAUCCUCCCAGGAAGUCGAUCCUGGGCCUACACUCUGACCGACGCCUGGGUUGAAGCCUUAGAAACUUCCCAAAGCGACAUUUUUGUAUUCACCCAAGCUCAGAGAAUGUUUGGAAAAUGUUUUAAUAUAAAGUAUGAAAUGGCCAUUGAAAACGGUGCCCUUGUGAUGAAGCAACCAGAACACUCAUUUUACCUGAAGCAUGAAUACAUGUUGACCGACUGCCCAGACUGUGUGACUCUGUAUGAAACAGCCAUCUCUGGGAACGUCACAUUCUACAGCCUGUUGUUCAGUAAAAGCAGGACUGUGCCUGAUUCAGCGCUGGAGAUGCUAAAGAAGCAAGCAGAGUGUCUGAAGAUGCCUUCAGUCAUCAUGUUGAACAAACAUUCUGAAGCGUGCCCGGACGACCCUGCACCCAUGGAUGGCACUGAGGCUUUUAGAUAUGUUAUGGAGGCAAAGACGUUUGGUGAUAUAAUUGACCUGCAUCAGCCCCUUGGAGGACCAAUCAGAUUCCAGGGGUGGACUGUGACCCUGGCCCACCUCAGACACGCCUCUACAGAGAUGAGCAGUGGGCACAAGGCACGGCAAAAGUACUAUUAG
rnacentral:lncRNA from 1 species